rnacentral:rRNA from 1 species
AAUAGAUACCCGGGUAGUCCACGCCGUAAACGUUGGGCGCUAGGUGUGGGGAACCUUCCACGUUCUCCGUGCCGUAGCUAACGCAUUAAGCGCCCCGCCUGGGGAGUACGGCCGCAAGGCUAAAACUCAAAGGAAUUGACGGGGGCCCGCACAAGCGGCGGAGCAUGCGGCUUAAUUCGAUGCAACGCGAAGAACCUUACCUAGGCUUGACAUAUACCGAAAACUCAUGGAGACAUGGGGUCCGCAAGGGCGGUAAACAGGUGGUGCAUGGUUGUCGUCAGCUCGUGUCGUGAGAUGUUGGGUUAAGUCCCGCAACGAGCGCAACCCUCGUCCUAUGUUGCCAGCGGGUAAUGCCGGGGACUCAUAGGAGACUGCCGGGGUCAACUCGGAGGAAGGUGGGGAUGACGUCAAAUCAUCAUGCCCCUUAUGUCUAGGGCUGCACGCAUGCUACAAUGGCCGGUACAAAGGGCUGCGAUACCGCAAGGUGGAGCGAAUCCCAAAAAGCCGGCCUCAGUUCGGAUUGGGGUCUGCAACUCGACCCA